ACAUCCUUUCAUUUUCAAUCAACCAUACCUACCUUGCUCUUACAGUACUUAAACCUUAGACAUGAAAGGCUGUUAGGGCACACACAGUCAAGAGUACAAGAAGUCCUGGUUUAUGUAAGCUGAAAAUAGUGCAUCUCUGCAGAACAGUGCAAAGAAGACUUAUUUCAUGCUGUGAAGCUACACUAAAAAGGGAGAAUAUUCCUUCUGGAGUCUCUAGGCUCACAACUGUACCUAUCCCUAUUAGAGGAUGUGUUGUCUCAUGUAGUGAAACUCUUUGAUACUGUAUCAGGUGAGAGCAGUAAGGAGUGUACCUGUCAGCUACCCUGACCAAGGCUCUUAUGAAGUAAAAUCAUGUAGAGAGUACAGCUUUGCAAACAACUAAGUCUAAGAGGCUGUGGGCUGGAGUCACUGAAGUCAGUGUGGUACAAAGCUCCUGAAGACAUCCAUUCAGAUGGACAUGGUAGAUUCAAACAUGCCCAAUUCCUAAAUGACUAAGUUCCUUGCUGCUUGUUGAACCACUUGUCUUAAACAUUUAUUUCCCAUGUAUGUUAUUAGAAAUACAAACCUUGAAACUAAAGAUAAUUGUCGUAAUGGUGCCUUGACCAUGUAGCAAAAAACUUAAUGAUUCUUUGCAGUGAAAAAGAAAUAUUCUAUUCAAAACUAUCCCUAUACCAACCUGAGUUGCUGGAUGCAUGUAUGAGUCAGUUAAGGAAGCCCAGAAGAACUCGGGAUGAUUUGAAUUUACUGACUUUCAGCUUCCAGCACAUUUAUUUUUAUCAUUUGCUUUAGUAGUGGCAUUCAUUGCAUGAGAGAACAAGUUGGUCUGAACAUAUGCAGGUGUCACAGAACUGUUGUGAUUUGUGUUUCUGUAAAUCAGUGAAAUCCCAUUCAAAGCAAAGAUGACAUAUAGUAAAUAAAAGCAAUUGUUAGCUGGACAAAUCAAUUGAGUUAGCUGAUCUGAUUAAAUGUCAUUUUUUUAUGGAUGAUUCCAAAGGCUGAUACUGCACUAAACAGAGGUGUGUGUUUAUAAGGAUAAAGAACAUCUUCAGAAUGCUCAUUUGUAUUACUCAUUUAUAAAUGAGGAAAUGUUAGAAGGAAAGUGAAUAUUAUUUUCUCCUGGUUUAUUUUAGAUCUCUGGUGGAGUAAAUGAAUAUUAAUUUGAAAU